AAGCAAAUAGAGAGGUUGCUGGAGUGUCGGAGCCGACCUCGCGAAGUGGAGCUGGUGUGUAAUGCCAACACCUUGUCGGGAGCCAGCGUUCCCACUGCUAACUUCGGUCGAGGAGAAUCCUGUCACUUCUAAACAAGAUGCUGCCUAACCUGCUGCGGUCCUCCAGCUUUUUGUGUGUGUUGGCUUUGGAUUUCCAGCAUUUGCAAACUUUCUCGUGUUUGUAACGUACUGACCCGUACGUCUAUGGGAUGUGGGAGGAAACCAGAGACCCAUGUGGUGACGGGGAGAAUGUACCAACUCUUUACAGUCAGAGCGGGAACUGAAUCCGGGCGCUGGAGCUUUAAUCUGUGUACGCUACGGUGCUGCCCUCUACAUUAAAGUAGAUUCCGUCAGUUAUCUUUGGAUCUCUGGUGAUAGAAGUGAACUUGGACACAACUUCCUUAGAGGAAGCAGAGGCACUCAAUGUCAGUAAGACAAAAGAGGUGAUUGUUGGCUUCGGGGUGGUGGUGGGGGGUUUAAGACAAAGGAACACAUACCAAUCCUCAUAGAGGGAUCGGAAAUGGAGAGAGCGGUUUCAGGUUCCUGGGUGUCAACAUCUCAUUUGGUCUAACUUGGUCCCAACGCAUCGAUGCAGUUUUAAAGAAGGCGAGACAGUGGCUAUACUUCACUAGGAGUUUGAGGAGAUUUGGUAUGCCAACAAAUACACUCAAAAACUUCUGUAGAUGUACUGUGGAGAGCAUUCUGACAGGCUGCAUCACUAUCUGGGGGGGUGGGGGGGACUGCUGCACAGGACUGAAAGAAGCUGCAGAGGUUUGUAAAUCUAGUCAGCUCCAUCUUGGGUACUAGUCUACAAAGUACCCAGGACAUCUUUAGGGAGCAGUGUCUCAGAAAGGGAGCGUCCAUUAUUAGGACCUCCAGCACCCAGGACAUGCCCUUUUCUCACUGUUACCAUCAGGUAGGAGGUACAGAAGCCUGAAGACACACACUCAGUGAUUCAAGAACAGCUUCUUCCCCUCUGCCAUCCGAUUCCUAAAUGGACAUAGUGUCCAAGGGUUCAAACUCACUUUUUUAGUAUAUAUUAUUUCUGUUUUUACACAAUUUUAAUCUAUUCAAUAUACAUAUACUGUAAUUGAUUUACUUAUUAUUUUUUCUAUAUUAUCAUGUAUUGCAUUGAACUGCUGCUGCUAAGUUAACAAAUUUCAUGACACAUGCCGGUGAUAAUAAACCUGAUUAUUACCAGGGUCCUGGAGGAACAUUGUUUCCUUUUUACUAUGUACUGUACCAGCAGUUAUGGUUGAAAUGAUAAUAAAUGUGACUUGACUUGA